rnacentral:rRNA from 1 species
GACGAACGCUGGCGGCGUGCUUAACACAUGCAAGUCGAGCGGUAAGGCCCUUUCGGGGUACGACGAGCGGCGAACGGGUGAGUAACACGUGGGUGACCUGCCCUUACGCUCUGGGAGUAAGCCUGGGAAACGUAGGGUCGUAAUACCGGAUAUGACCUCAUGACUCAUGUUGUGGGGUGGAAAGCCUUGUGCGGCUAGGGAUGGGCCCGCGGCCUAUCAGCUUGUUGGUGGGGUAAGUUGCCUACCAAGGCGACGACGGGUAGCCGGCCU